AAUGAACGCUGGCGGCAUGCCUUACACAUGCAGUCGAACGGCAGCAUGACCUAGCUUGCUAGGUUGAUGGCGAGUGGCGAACGGGUGAGUAAUGCAUCGGAACGUGCCUUUUAGUGGGGGAUAACGUAGCGAAAGUUACGCUAAUACCGCAUAUUCUCUGAGGAGGAAAGCAGGGGACCUUCGGGCCUUGCGCUAGAAGAGCGGCCGAUGUCGGAUUAGCUAGUUGGUGAGGUAAAGGCUCACCAAGGCAACGAUCCGUAGCGGGUCUGAGAGGAUGAUCCGCCACACUGGGACUGAGACACGGCCCAGACUCCUACGGGAGGCAGCAGUGGGGAAUUUUGGACAAUGGGCGCAAGCCUGAUCCAGCCAUGCCGCGUGAGUGAAGAAGGCCUUCGGGUUGUAAAGCUCUUUCGGCUGGGAAGAAAUCGCACCCUCUAAUACAGGGUGUGGAUGACGGUACCAGCAUAAGAAGCACCGGCUAACUACGUG
rnacentral:rRNA from 1 species